ACAGUACACAUGGGGUACAGAGUAAUAUGGUACACAUUACACAUGGGUUACAGAGUAAUAUGGUACACAGUACACAUUAGGUACGGAGUAAUAUGGUACACAGUACACAUGGGGUACAGAGUAAUAUGUUACACAGUACACAUUAGGUACGGAAUAAUAUGGUACACAGUACACAUUAGGUACAGAGUAAUAUGGUACAUAGGACACAUGGGGUACAGAGUAAUAUUGUACACAGUACACAUUAGGUACGGAGUAAUAUGGUACACAGUACACAUGGAGUAGAGUAAUAUGUUACACGGUACACAUGGGGUACAAAGUAAUAUGUUACACAGUACAUAUGGAGUACAGAGUAAUAUGGUACAUAGUACACAUGGGGUACAGAGUAAUAUGGUACACAGUACACAUUAGGUACGGAGUAAUAUGGUACACAGUACACAUGUGGUACAGAGUAAUAUGGUACACAGUACACAUGGAGGACAGAGUAAUAUGUUACACAGUACAAAUGGGGUACAAA